AUCCUCACAUUCAUAUAAAAAGUCUUUAAUUUAAAAGACUAGGACAGUAUUGUCAACCGCAUCAAUUGAUACACAUCUGCCUAAUCUAAAAUAUCUUUAAAUAUAAAAAAAUUAGAAUGCAGAAGUCUUCGUUGUUUAUUCUUUGCAUCGUCAUUCUUUCAGCGAUAGUGGAAGCGAAGCCGACACCUAAUGCGCCCUGCUCCGGCUCCACCCUUACUAUCGGAAAGGGGGACAACAAUAACAACACGCUAAGAAACACACUGGCACUGUUGCAAGCAGCUGGCUGCAAAAUCGACCUUAGCAUUGGAGAGGGUAACAAUAAUAAAAACGAUAUAUCCUAGUUGGUUAUACUUAUAUUAUGCGCUUCAGCUAGAAAAAAUGUUUUUGAUGUGCACCACAAAAAUAAAAAAAAUCAUAUAGUUAUUAAUUAUUUAUUAUUUAUAACGGGUGAUAAAACGGACACAAGAUCAUAAUAAUAAUCUAAACUUAAAACCCAGUUAAGUACUUAAAGCCUUCUGAAAUCAAUUUUUAAUUUUAUAAUGUGAGUAUGAGUUGACCGCAUUGUAAAUAUUACGAGAGUAACUUAAGGUUCUAUUAAGAAUGUAGUAUUUAAAUCGAUUGUAAUUUGUAAUAUUUUAAUUUAAUAAAGUGUUUAUAUAAAGCUGCUCAUAGCUCAUACUGGUUUACACCUUUUAUAAAAAAAUACUUGACUGUUACAUUAGUGUGUUAUUGAUUAUUAUCAUAAUAUAAUUAAAAAAAUCAUAAUUUGCAUUAAGUCCCUAGUUGUCGGCUACAUGCUGUUACUAAAUGUAGCCGAGUUCAGAAACGGAAUGUUACUUUGGAAAAGAUAACAAUGAACAUACUUUAAACGUUAAGAUGUUACAAAUAACUU